GACGAACGCUGGCGGCGUGCUUAACACAUGCAAGUCGAACGGAAAGGCCCUGCUUUUGUGGGGUGCUCGAUUGGCGAACGGGUGAGUAACACGUGAGUAACCUGCACUUGACUUUGUGAUAUCUUCAGGAAACUGGGGCUAAUACCGGAUAGGAGCUCCUGCUGCAUGGUGUGGGUUGGAAAGUUUCGGCGGUUGGGGAUGGACUCGCGGCUUAUCAGCUUGUUGGUGGGGUAGUGGCUUACCAAGGUUUUGACGGGUAGCCCGCCUGAGAGGGUGACCGGCCACAAUGGGACUGAGAUACGGCGCAGAAUGCUACGGGAGGCAGCAGUGGGGAAUAUGGCACAAUGGGCGGAAGCCUGAUGCAGCAACGCCGCGUGCGGGAUGACGGCCUUCGGGUUGAAAACAGCUUUCGAAUGAAACGAAGAGUGAGUGACGGUAAUGGGUAAAGAAGCACCGGCUAACUACGUG
rnacentral:rRNA from 1 species